rnacentral:rRNA from 1 species
GAGGUCUAGCCUGCCCGGUGACCCAAUUUAACGGCCGCGGUACCCUAACCGCGCAAAGGUAGCGUAAUCACUUGUUCUUUAAAUGUGGACUUGUAUCAACGGCAUCACGAGGGUUUCACUGUCUCAUUUCUCCAAUCAGUAAAACUAAUCUCCCCGUGAAGAAGCGGGGAUACCCCUAUAAGACGAGAAGACCCCAUGGAGCUUUAAACCUAGCUGCAAUCCAACUUUUAAAACCUACUCAUUAAACAGGAUUCUGUAUGCUCAGUUUUAGGUUGGGGUGACCGCGGAGUAUAACAAAGCCUCCUCAAUGAAAGAAGCUACUUUCUUACCCAAGAGCUACACCUCUAAGAAUUAAUAUAUUAACAUAAAAUGAUCCGAUAAUCGAUCAACGGACCAAGUUACCCUGGGGAUAACAGCGCAAUCCAUUUCAAGAGCUCCUAUCGACAAAUGGGUUUACGACCUCGAUGUUGGAUCAGGAUAUCCCAGUGGUGCAGCAGCUACUAAGGGUUCGUUUGUUCAACGAUUAAAAUCCUACGUGAUCUGAGUUCAA